rnacentral:sRNA from 1 species
AAAUUUUUUGAAAUUCUUUGAAAUGGUUGAAUUUAUAUAUGAUCAACUCUCACACUAAAUUAAGCCCCUUGUAUCCCUACAUCAGUUUAAAAGUAUUAAACUAUAAACCUCCAAAUACAUGUUUUUCCUAUACCUUACAUAUAAUUAAUACACAUAUGAUUGGGUGAUGUUUAAUUAACUUGAAUUGUGAUAGAUGUUGUAGAGUGGUCAAUUUUAUGUUUGUUACGACAGCUAGAGUUUAUUUACAAUGUUGUAUUUCUACUGAAUGAACUGAAGACAUCAUAUAAUAUACAUACAGUAGUAUAUCUUUAAUGUGUCAUAUAUUUCAUAUUUUUUAUGAUAACGAGUAUUUAUUAUUCUUUCUAUAGCUUAAUUACUGUGUUGAUAUUAAUUUUCCUUUUUUCAUGGUUUAUGUGCACGUUCAAUUGAUUUCUUUAAACUGUUGUGUUGCCAUUAAACAUACAUUGUACAAGUACAUUUAUACUGAUCUUAUAUAUGACCUCCAAGCCAGUUUGUAUAAAUGGGUACAAUUUGUGACACAUUAAUGUUUACCAAAAUUUAUCUAUUUUUGUGCUUGCUGCUUGAUUUUAACCAUCCCCCCAGUGCUCCCAAUUGAACAUUUUAAAAACCAACAUUCAUCAGUUCUUAGGAUGAUGUAAAUCAUAGAAAUCUUUCCCUAUAAAAAUGUACAACUCUAUAGCCUUGUAAACUAUACAUGUACCAUCUAUCAGUGCAGCAUUUUGCUACAUGAUAUUAAACAGUUGCCCCAUAAUUAUAUUUUUAUCUGCAAAUCUUAAUUUUUUUAAUUGCUGUGCCUUCUACAUCAUCAACAGCCAUUUGUUUCUGGUGCCAUAGGCAAUGAAAAAAUAUAAAAUAGCUAAUAAUAAUCUCUAAGAUUUGAGUUAGGAUAUGGUAGAUAUAAAGUAAAAUUAUAGCUGUGAAUAAUUUUUAUAAUUGUAGUUAUAAAUAUGACUUCCAAAUUUUAACAGUACACAGAUCUUCCUGUGCUGUACUGGUGCUUUACAGUGUGUUUAGAUUGUUAGGCUACAUAAUAAUACUAUUAUAACCUGCAUUACAUCGCUGUAACAGGGCAUGACAUAAAGAGCUUUAGGCUUGGAGAUUUCCAACAAGAUCCAUCACCCAUGCAACAUUUACUCAGAUAUUCAUGUACAUUCUAAGCUCAAUGAUCAAAUCAGCAUUAUAAGAAAUUGAGGUACAAGUGCAAUACUUCUAAAAUCACAAAAUAACACGAGGAUAUUUUCUAACAGUACUGUUUCUAUUCUAACAUGCAUGCCUUCCCUAGCAUCAAAUGUUUGCAAAAUUUGAGCUCAUUUUUUUUUUUACAAAUAAACAUACCGGUACAUUUUCUAUCUUAGUAUAGAUCAUUUAUGUACAAGAAAGUUGUUUGUUAUGUUACCGGUAAGAAUUGGAUUGGACUUGUUUCGUACAUAACUGAUAAAAGUGUGCAUGUUGAAUGCUCAACCUUGAUGCUGUUGCGUGAACUAUUCCUGUGUAAUGAAGCCUAUAGAUCUUAAUAUUUCUACCUUAUUGUUGGUGUUUUGUAUACCUAUAUAAUUUUACUUAAUACUAGGUCUGGUCGAGUUUUGUAUUUUGUAAUGAAUUACUUUCUGUAUGUUUUUUUAUUUUGUUAAUAUACUUAUGUUACAGUACAUAGAAUAAACCAAACAAAAAUCGAU